UGCGUCAUCGUCGCGUCGUGA
rnacentral:piRNA from 1 species